CAGGCUGUUCCUUUAAAGUAAGGGUCAGCACACUUUUUCUUUAAAUGUCCAGAUGGUUAAAUACUUUAGGCUUUGCAGGCCCUAAUGUCUCUGCUGCAACGCCUCAGCUCUGUUGUUGAAAGCGCAAAAGCAGAAAUGGGCAAAUGCGUAGAUGAAUAAGCAUGUCUGGGUCUCAAUAAAACUUUAUUUACACCAACAGGCAGUAGGCCAGAUUUGGCCCAUGGGUUACUACCAACCUCUGCUUUGCCAGCCUCUGCUUUAAAAGGAUGGGGCAUGGGGCCACCUGGCUGGCUCAGCCAGGGGAGUGUGUGACUCUUGACUUGGGGGUCGUGAGUUCGAGCUCCACGUUGGGUGUAGAGAUUACUUAAAAUAAAUAAGUAAUUAAAAAACAAUAAAUAAAAGGAUGGGGGCACGCCAUCCCUUUCUCUCUAGUUGGAAUGUGGGUGUGUCGGCUGGAGCUGGAGUAACUACUUUGGACCACGGUGUUCAAGUCCUUUGUUGAAAAUGGUGGAGAAAAAUGGUAGGAGUUUGAGUCCCUCAGUCUGUGGAGCCACGUACCCGCUCCGCACUGCUCAUGGUGACUGUUGCGUUUGGGGAGGACUAAGCGCAUCUUUUGUCCAUCACUCGUGGUUUGGGUCUUGCAAUGGCCACCAUAUUAAUAGCUUAGCUCCCUUAUUUCAGAGACCCUAAGGGGCCGUCAGAUACACAUUGUGCAAUCAUUUCACGUGUCACUAAGAAACAAGACCACCGCUGUGCCUCUUAUUAAGCUUUGUUUCUCCACUCCAGAUCCACUCUGCCAUAUUGUGCUUUGUGAUGACAGCACUAGAGACCUGUGAACUACACCGCGCCUUUGCCUGCUGGCCAGCUUCCACCACUCAGGGUCAUUGGAGGGAAACAAGAAGGCGGGAGGAGGGAGAAGGGACUUGCUCCUUCCUCUUUGCUUCCCGUUCUUACUACUGUCCGGAGCACUGGCUCCUCUCCCAGGCGGCAGCCCUUGGUUCCAGCCUCCAGCUUUCCUCGGGACCUCAGAACUGGAUGCAUCAUAUGCCUCGAGAGGAACUUAAGUUACCUGCAUAGAAGCUUCGCAGAUCGGUGUCCAAACAGUUCUCCAGGAAGCGCCUCAGAGACGCGCAUGGACUGAGGGCCACGGUGAUUGCUUCAGAACUGCUCUUUCUCUGAGGAGACUCGGAGGCCCCGCGAGAAGGGUCUGGGGGCUCAUCUAGUCCAGCCUCCCACCUGGUGUGGACUCCCUUCAGUGGUGUCCCGGGCAGACAGCCAUUAAGUCGCGACUCGACCAUCCUCGUACUGGGAAACUCGAUGUCCGGGGGUGACCCAUUUCACUGCUGGACAGCUUUGAGUAGGAGUCACUCCUGAUUCUGAAUAGAAGCCUGCACUCCUGUCACUUUGACCUGCUGAUACUACCUCUGCCUGUUUUUAGAAUACCUCUUCCCAGGGACAGCUCUUUAGUUUCUGGGGCAGGAAUCACAUUCCCCAGGGGGGAGGGGGGUUCAUCUGUUGGUAGCUACUCUGUGCCAAGCACCGUGCUGACAUCCU